AACCACGACAUUGGGCUUAAUAACCGAACCAAAGUCCUAAUUACAUUUUAGGCCCAUCCACAUAUCUCAGGUCUCUAGGGUUUCCUAUAUACAGCAUCCAAAACCCUAACUUCAGUUUCUUUCAUCACUGCCGCUUUUCUGUUAGUGAAGAAAACUCUUUGAUCAUCACCAAUUCAACAUGAGAGCUAAGUGGAAGAAGAAGCGUAUGAGGAGAUUGAAGAGGAAGCGCCGAAAGAUGAGGCAGAGAUCUAAGUAAAAUGUAUCUCACAGUUCCUAAUGGUGUUUAGUUUUAUGUUGUUUAAGUUUUAGUUUGAAAUGCAGUAACAAUGACUGGUGAUUUUGUCCUAGUCGCACCGAAUUCAGAUUUUGAUAUUCGUUUUUGGGUUGUGGUAUUUUUUUCAUUAUUA